rnacentral:lncRNA from 1 species
UACAAUAGAGAUCAAGAGAAGAAUCCUUUCUUCUUAAUUUUUUCACACACAAGAGAGAACAUUUCUCUCUUCCUUUCACGCCUUUAAGAAAAAUUUUUCUUCUCUGAUUUUUCAUGAUAAAAAUCAGAUCUAAUCUAAUUUUUUAUGCUGAAAAUCAUAUGAAAUCCUAGGCUCUAGAAGAACCUAAAAGAGAGACCCAAGAGAAGAACUGUUCUUCUCUCUUCUUCUCCCUUUU